rnacentral:rRNA from 1 species
UACGGGGGGAGCAAGCGUUGUUCGGAUUUACUGGGCGUAAAGGGCGCGUAGGCGGCCACUGCAAGUCAGUUGUGAAAUCUCCGGGCUUAACCCGGAAAGGUCAACUGAUACUGCAGGGCUAGAGUGCAGAAGGGGCAACUGGAAUUCUCGGUGUAGCGGUGAAAUGCGUAGAUAUCGAGAGGAACACCUGCGGCGAAGGCGGGUUGCUGGGCUGACACUGACGCUGAUGUGCGAAAGCCAGGGGAGCAAACGGG